UCGAGUGCUUGGAAAAGUGGAGAAUUUGCUUGAUGAUAACGUCCUUUUGAGAGGUUGUUGUUUCAUUAAAGCUUCUCUUUGCUAUUUUAAUCCUUCAUAUAAUUUCGUGGACUUACGAUAGUUGGGACUAAAUUACAUUUUAAUCCGUUCGGUAAACAAUUCCGCAACUACUGCUGAACAUAGCUGCGAGCGACGGAAAAUGAUACGCCAUGAUGGAGAUAUUAUAGUGCUGCGGGCGACAAAAUCUAAUUGUACGUAUAUACAUAUUUGUGGAAGAAUAGGGAGUAACUCUAGCUGCAAUCCACAAGAAUAUAUGUAUAUGUACGCAUGUACUCGCAAAUUUGAUUGUUGUUAUCAUGCAUCGAUCAGUGAAAUGCGCAAGAUACCUGAACGCAUCUCUUGACAGUACGUGUAUUACCUUUGAGAAUUGGUGGAUGGAAAUGGGGCAUAAGAACAUUUGCCUCUAGGAACCUUAGAAAUGAAGUCAAAACCACAUGAA